rnacentral:rRNA from 1 species
CAGUCGCCGCGGUAAUACAGAGGGUGCGAGCGUUAAUCGGAUUUACUGGGCGUAAAGCGUGCGUAGGCGGCUUUUUAAGUCGGAUGUGAAAUCCCUGAGCUUAACUUAGGAAUUGCAUUCGAUACUGGGAAGCUAGAGUAUGGGAGAGGAUGGUAGAAUUCCAGGUGUAGCGGUGAAAUGCGUAGAGAUCUGGAGGAAUACCGAUGGCGAAGGCAGCCAUCUGGCCUAAUACUGACGCUGAGGUACGAAAGCAUGGGGAGCAAACAGGAUUAGAUACCCCCGUAGUCCCUGUCUCUUAUAU